rnacentral:ncRNA from 1 species
GCAUCGUCGCCCCCGCAAGGUUCCCCGACGUAUGAGAUCCGAGGGGAUGAAAUGGGAAUGCGGUGAAGGCGACCCAAUCCGGGGCCCGAGACCGCAGCCGCCCCCGCGACUGUGAGCGGAGAGCGACGCGCCGAGAUGCCACUGGCCCCGCGACGGGGUUCGGGAAGGCGGCGCCGAGCAUCGACCCGCGAGCCAGGAGACCAGCCCUGCACCGUCCUUCUGG